UUCUGGUCUUCGAUUAAAUGUAACAGUUUGCAGCGAUAUUUCAAUCAGACUGGGUGAUACGACUUCACAGUAUAUCUUAGCUAGUUACUAACGCGGUUGUCUUUCAUACCAGUAAGAUCGUCUUCAAGAACAAAUGGACAUCACUGCCAGAACUCCUCCCGCGAAAAAGUAACUUUUACCAAACUUACCUAAUGAGGAAAUCUUUCCGUACCAGUUUUACUAACAAACGGUUUUCGGAUUAUCUGCGGGUCUACCCUUUUACCUGGGGUAGAACAAAGGACAAGCGUAUCUACGGAGGAAAAUCACUCUUCAAACGAAUUGGAGAAAGUUACAGACGUGACACGUUCAUCCCUUUGAAUAUUUCGGUUUCGGAAAGG